GAUGAACGCUAGCGGCAGGCUUAACACAUGCAAGUCGAGGGGCAGCAUGAGACGGAGAUUCGUCGAAGUCUUGAUGGCGACCGGCGCAAGGGUGCGUAACGCGUGAGCAACUUGCCCGUUUCAGGGGGAUAACCGGUGGAAACGCCGACUAAUACUCCAUAGUAUUGCGAUAAGGCAUCUUUUUGCAAUUAAAGAAUUUCGGAAACGGAUAGGCUCGCGUGACAUUAGCUAGAUGGUGAGGUAACGGCUCACCAUGGCGACGAUGUCUAGGGGUUCUGAGAGGAAGGUCCCCCACACUGGAACUGAGACACGGUCCAG
rnacentral:rRNA from 1 species